rnacentral:rRNA from 1 species
GGCCGCGGUAUUUUGACCGUGCUAAGGUAGCGCAAUCACUUGUCUUUUAAAUGAAGACCUGUAUGAAUGGUGAAACGAGGGCUUAACUGUCUCCCCUUUCAAGUCAAUGAAAUUGAUCUGCCCGUGCAGAAGCGGACAUAAUUAUACAAGACGAGAAGACCCUUUGGAGCUUCAGGCACAAAAUUAACUGUGUUUUAAUAUCUAAACAAAAUAGAUACAAGCAAAACAGCACUAAUUCCACUAAGCCUUCAGUUGGGGCGACUGUGGGGGAAAAUAAAGCCCCCAUGUGGACUGGGAUAAUUCCCAAAACUAAGAGGGACACCUCUAAGUCACAGAACAUCUGACCAAUACAGAUCCGGCAAAUUAGCCGACCAACGAACCAAGUUACCCUAGGGAUAACAGCGCAAUCCCCUCCAAGAGUUCUUAUCGACAAGGGGGUUUACGACCUCGAUGUUGGAUCAGGACAUCC